UAAAAUUGAAAGAUGGGGAAGCAUUAUGUGUCCUUCGAGAUAUAUUUCAUGGGCGAACUGCAAAGCAAGGAAGAUCAUGUCCGGUUGUCCUGUUUCAUGUACACCUGCUAUCAAUAAUUAAAGAGGAAGAGGGAGAGAAGGUUGUGAAGUCGAAUCCGAGCUCGUGGUUCAGUGAAAUGCUUUGCUGAAUCUGAACGUGUUCUUAAAAUGCCGGGGAUGCAUUAUUUAGAGAAGGCUGCCGACUAUGAUGCUUUAAAUGCUUCAGAAAUGCUUAGGGUCUUAAAUCUGAUAUGCACGAACUAAGAAAUUUGAUAGAACAUCAAAAAACACAAUUUGACCAGAAAGCAAAGGAAGCUAAACUUAAGGUUUUUGAAGCAAGAGGCGAGAUAAAGAUAAUAAAAGAGGACACUGCCAAAGCUAUUGAUGCAAGGGAUGGGGAGCAGGAAGCAAUUGUUUCUCUUAAUAGAUCUGCUGCAAAGCUAGCUCAUGGAAAGCUGCUUGAGUCAGAGGCAAUGCUUUUGAAGCGGAAGUUCUGUAUUAUUUAUUGUUAAAGUGUGUGUGUGUGUGAAGAGAUUCAAAUGAGAAUCUCUAUUUAAAUUGAGAACAUGAGAAUUCCUUUUUAAACAUGGCUCUUGGUUUCUCCA